AAAAACUCCAAGGCCCUAGAGGAGGGUGGAACCACAAGGUGGUAGUAGCCUAGAUGCCGAGGAACACCAUGGAACAGAGCGCCCUCACCCUUCCCCAUGGAGAGCUGAAUGAAAUGAAAGAAUGACUUCUAAGAAGGUUUAGUAAAUGAAAUGCCAAAGCCAUCUCAUUACAAAGGCAUCUCCAUGGUAGAGAUUACUUGUCUCUGGACAUCUGAAUGACUGGUCUGGGAGUAGGCUUGGUAGAGUUCUACUGGGAGCCAAUGCAGAAGGAGGAGAUUGCAUUUCUGGGACUGUUCUCCUUUGGGGACAAGUCACAGAACUUGGAUUCUAAAGCUCAAGGUUGAAACCCCAGCUUCACUACUUUAUCAGAGGUCUGACCCCAGGUUUACAUUUGGUAUUCUGCUUGCCUGUUCUCAGACUUUAGACAACUGGGCUCACGCCACACAGAUUCCGCCAUGGUUGCUUCUCUUGCCCGGUGUAUGUCUACGAGAACCAUCUGUGUCGAUGGGUGUGGUUGCCGUCCGCUCGUUUCACUGCCAUCCUGAAUUCUAUGAAUAUAGCUCCAUGAGAGGAGGGACCUUGUUUGUCUUAUUCACCCUAGAAGAGUGUGAAAGGACCGUGAAGUGAUGAACAAGUAGCUCUGCCCAGCGGGUUCAAUUUCAUCCUGGGCUAGAUGGAGAUGGAGGCCACACCCAUCACUUAAAACGUCAUUGAUCCAAGUGAAUUCUUCCCUGAAGAAGUUGGAUGACUAAAGUAGGGGACCAGCCCUUCCUACUUCCUAGAGGAACGUCUGAUUCCUGCUGUUGAGUGAAGUAUCACAGUCUUUAUGUCUGACCUUCCCAGCCCUUCAAGGUUGGCUCACACUGGCAUUCCAGAAAUUUCAGCUGAGUUGUAGGAAAUGGGUUAAACUGCCCCCUGUUGCUGUGCGACCUCCUCGGGAGCUUCCUGGUGUCAUGUGAAACCAGU